rnacentral:rRNA from 1 species
AUAUAAGUAGGCGGUGGAAAAUGAACCAAAUGGGAUUCCUUAAGUAAUUGCGAAUGAACAAGGAACUGCUCAGCUUGAAAAUUGGGGCCUUCGGCCUUGAAUUGUAAUUUUGAAAUGUAUUGCCAAUGGAGGCGCAGGUGCAAGCCUAUUGAAAGAAAGCGUCAAUGAGGGUGAGAUUCCUUUUUGUCAUUUGCAGUCCUCCGUGCACGGUAUAUAUUUGACGAGUCACACUCCUCGGCAUUGGAAUGCAAAGUGGGUGGUAAAUUCCAUGUAAAGGAAAAUAUAUUAUUGAGACUGAUAGCAAACAAGUACCAUGAGGGAAAUAUGAAAAGGACUUUGAAAAGAGAAUUAAAAGAGUCUGCAUUUGCUGAACAGAAAGCAAACAGAAUUGAUCUACUUGGUGAGAUUGUUGCGUCCACUUGUGGGCGCAAUGGUUCUUACCUUGAAUGUCAGCGUCUAUUUCUGCAAAUCAUUACCCUUGCACAUGAAUGGUAAUUUGCCUGUGGGUAUUGGAAUGCAUGUGUUUGCANUGAUUUGUGAUUUGAUACGUGUGUCUGGUGUUCUUGUGUGUGCCUUCUUGCCAAAAGGGGAGGGCUCUCCUCCCUGGGCACUGCAAG